rnacentral:rRNA from 1 species
UGCCUGGCGGCUGUAGCGCGGUGGUCCCACCUGACCCCAUGCCGAACUCAGAAGUGAAACGCCGUAGCGCCGAUGGUAGUGUGGGGCCUCCCCAUGCGAGAGUAGGGUACUGCCAGGCAU